rnacentral:rRNA from 1 species
ACGGGUGAGUAAUGCCUAGGAAUCUGCCUGGUAGUGGGGGAUAACGUUCCGAAAGGAACGCUAAUACCGCAUACGUCCUACGGGAGAAAGCAGGGGACCUUCGGGCCUUGCGCUAUCAGAUGAGCCUAGGUCGGAUUAGCUAGUUGGUGAGGUAAUGGCUCACCAAGGCGACGAUCCGUAACUGGUCUGAGAGGAUGAUCAGUCACACUGGAACUGAGACACGGUCCAGACUCCUACGGGAGGCAGCAGUGGGGAAUAUUGGACAAUGGGCGAAAGCCUGAUCCAGCCAUGCCGCGUGUGUGAAGAAGGUCUUCGGAUUGUAAAGCACUUUAAGUUGGGAGGAAGGGCUGUAGGCUAAUAUCCUGCGGUUUUGACGUUACCAACAGAAUAAGCACCGGCUAACUUCGUGCCAGCAGCCGCGGUAAUACGAAGGGUGCAAGCGUUAAUCGGAAUUACUGGGCGUAAAGCGCGCGUAGGUGGUUCGUUAAGUUGGAUGUGAAAGCCCCGGGCUCAACCUGGGAACUGCAUCCAAAACUGGCGAGCUAGAGUACGGUAGAGGGUAGUGGAAUUUCCUGUGUAGCGGUGAAAUGCGUAGAUAUAGGAAGCCACACCA